AGGAUUAACGCUGGCGGCGUGCCUGACACAUGCAAGUCGAACGAGGCCGCAAGGCCGAGUGGCGGACGGGUGAGUAACACGUGACCAACCAACCUCGAAGUUGGGAAUAGCUCUGCGAAAGUAGGGGUAAUACCGAAUGUGGCCCAGGGCGGGCAUCCGCCUUGGUCUAAAGAUUCAUCGCUUCGAGACGGGGUCGCGGCCUAUUAGCUUGUUGGUGAGGUAACGGCUCACCAAGGCGAUGAUGGGUAGCUGGUCUGAGAGGACGACCAGCCACACUGGGACUGAGACACGGCCCAGACUCCUACGGGAGGCAGCAGUGAGGAAUCUUCCGCAAUGGGCGAAAGCCUGACGGAGCAACGCCGCGUGUGGGAUGAAGACUCUAGGGUUGUAAACCACUGUCGGAGGGACGAUCGUGACGGUACCCUCAAGAAACGCCCCGGAUAACCUACGCGCCAGCAGCCGC
rnacentral:rRNA from 1 species